UCCGUAAUGGUGUAAUGGUUAGCAUUUCUGCCUCUCAAUCCGGUUCCAACAUCCUUUCGGGGCGAGGGACUGGAAGAGCUCAUCCUUCGGGGUGCCUCGGGGCUCGCAGGAGAUCAGGGUUCAAUUCCCUGUUACGGAA
rnacentral:tRNA from 1 species